UUAAGCAUAUCAAUAAGCGGAGGAAAAGAAACUAACAAGGAUUCCCCUAGUAACGGCGAGUGAAGCGGGAAGAGCUCAAAUUUGAAAUCUGGCGGUCUCACGGCCGUCCGAGUUGUAGUCUAGAGAGGCGUUAUCCGCGGCGGACCACGUACAAGUCCUUUGGGAUGCGGCGUCAUAGAGGGUGAGAAUCCCGUCCAUGACGUGGACUACCGUCGCUUUGCGUUGCGCCUUCGAAGAGUCGAGUUGUUUGGGAAUGCAGCUCAAAACGGGUGGUAAAUUCCAUCUAAAGCUAAAUACAGGCGAGAGACCGAUAGCGAACAAGUACCGUGAGGGAAAGAUGAAAAGAACUUUGGAAAGAGAGUUAAACAGUACGUGAAAUUGCUGAAAGGGAAACGCUUGGAGUCAGUCGCGUCCUCGAGGAUUCAGCCCGGCUUUUGUCGGGUGCACUUCCUCUGGGGACGGGCCAGCAUCAGUUUCGAGCGUCGAAGAAUGGCGGGAGGAAUGUGGCACCUUCGGGUGUGUUAUAGCCUCCCGUCGGACGCGACGCUCGGGACUGAGGACCGCUUUGAUAGGAUGCUGGCGUAAUGGCUUUAAACGACCCGUCUUGAAACACGGA
rnacentral:rRNA from 1 species